GACGAACGCUGGCGGCGUGCUUAACACAUGCAAGUCGAACGGUGAAAGCGGAGCUUGCUCCGCUGGAUCAGUGGCGAACGGGUGAGUAACACGUGGGCAACCUGCCCCUCACUUCGGGAUAACUCCGGGAAACCGGGGCUAAUACCGGAUAUGACCUCCUUGGGCAUCCUUGGCGGUGGAAAGUUUUUCGGUGAGGGAUGGGCCCGCGGCCUAUCAGCUUGUUGGUGAGGUAGUGGCUCACCACGGCGACGACGGGUAGCCGGCCUGAGAGGGCGACCGGCCACACUGGGACUGAGACACGGCCCAGACUCCUACGGGAGGCAGCAGUGGGGAAUAUUGCGCAAUGGGCGAAAGCCUGACGCAGCAACGCCGCGUGCGGGAUGAAGGCCUUCGGGUUGUAAACCGCUUUCAGCAGGGAAGAAGCCGCAAGGUGACGGUACCUGCAGAAGAAGCACCGGCUAACUACGUGCCAGCCGCCGCGGUAA
rnacentral:rRNA from 1 species